rnacentral:lncRNA from 1 species
CCACAACGAAUUGGAAUUUGUAACAUACAGCAUCAUGAGUUUUGCAAAUUCUUAACACAUCAUUCUAAUUGUAAUUCAUAACAUAUCAUACGAAAUGGAUGAUGGACAUCCACAAAUUAAUACAGUGUCCCGGAAUUACAUUUACUAUGUUACGUCUACUCCUGAGUCUAGGAUGCAUGUGCGCAUAUGCCUUUCUUUGUUUACAAACCAUAAACUAGCUAUUAGUAGCUAGCUCAAGCAGAACGUACAACCAAAUGUACUGGUAACCUUUCAUCUGUGGUGUGACAGUUAGCUAGCAAGCUACUUACAAGCAUGCCAGCUGAAAAUUUGAAUAAUGUCAUUUCGAGUGAAGUUGAUUUAUCAAUUGGGGAGAACAUUCGAUGGGUUUUGCCAGGAAGCUAAUCCUGAAGACGGAUGCUGUACGGUCAUUGACAGUGGAUCUUACAAGCGCCGACCAUAAUACAACCACCGCAGCAGGGAUGGUGUGAUACAGCUUUCCCAAGGCAAAGAAGGGAGUGGUAUACUGUGAAGCCUGUGAACACAGACCCAACGUCCCUAUUACAGGCUUCGCAGACUGGCUCCUGGAUAUCCUCUACAACGAGGUCACCCUGGACUGAGAUCCGUAUGUGGGGAAGCUGUGCGAGCUGUCCAUCCCAGGACCCCUGUCUGCCCAGUGUGAGAGGCCUGACAAGGAAGAGGCCAUAGCUGGAUUUGUCUCCCACUUCAAUCAUGGGGGUGACUGAAGCCUGCUCGAUUUGAAGCAGGGUAGGCCUGAUUACUGACGACGAUGAGACAGCCUAUAGGGAGGAGGUCAGAGACAACAACCUCUCCCUCAACGUCAGCAAGACAAAGGAGCUGAUCGUGGACUACAGGAAAUGGAGAGCCGAGCACGCCCCCAUUCACAUCGACGGGGCUGUAGUGGAGCAGGUCGAGAGCUUCAAGUUCCUCAGCGUCCACAUCACAAAGGAUCUAUCAUGGUCCACACACACCAACACAGUCGUGAAGAGGGCACGACAACGCCUCUUCCCCCUCACGAGACUGAAAAGAUUUGGCAUGGGCCCUAUGACUGGCUGCAACGCCGCUUGACAUGGCAACUGCUUGACAUCCGACCUCAAGGCGCUACAGAGGGUGAUGCGUACGGCCCAGUACAUCACUGGGUCCGAGCUCCCUGCCAUCCAGGACCUCAAUACCAGGCAGCGUCAAAGAAAGGCCCUAAAAUUGUCAAAACUUCAGCCACGCAAGUCAUAGACUGUACUCUCUGCUUGGUAUCAAUCCAAGUCUGGAGCUAACAGGACCCUGAAAAGCUUCUACCCCCAAGACUGCUAAAUAGUUAGUCCGGGUAGCUAUUUGGUUAACUAUUUAACUAUCUUCAUUGACCCUUUUUGAACUCCCUUUUUUGACUCAUCACAUAUGCUGCUGUUACUGUUUAUUAUCUAUCCUGUUGCCAAGUCAUUUUAUUCCUAAAUAUAUGCACACAUCUACCUGAAUUACCUCGUACCCCUGCACAUCGACUCGGUACUGGUACCCCGUGUAUAAAGCCAAGUUAUCACUACUCAUUGUGUAUUUAGUAUUAUGUGUUAUUGCUUUUCUAAAGUGACUCAGGCUUUACUAAUUCUUGUAAAGGAGUGUAUCAGUGAAGUGUAUUCUGUAAUUAGUUACUAAACAAUAGAAAUACAAUUGUGUAUUGCUGCUGUUUGUCUGAUAUCUAACAGUCCAUGAUUAGCUCUGUUGACCAUGAGAGCAUUUUGCAGAGAAAAUGGGUUGAGGCAUACUAUUUAGGCUUGGAAUGACAUGUGGCCCAUUGUUUACCUUGUCAUCAAUGACAUGUGGCCCAUUGUUUACCUUGUUACCUGGCAAUGACCAAAGAGCUGUCAGUCAUGAACAUAAGCUCCCCG